rnacentral:rRNA from 1 species
AAACAUAAAAGGUGGCUUCGGCUACCACUUACAGAUGGACCCGCGGCGCAUUAGCUAGUUGGUGAGGUAAUGGCUCACCAAGGCAACGAUGCGUAGCCGACCUGAGAGGGUGAUCGGCCACACUGGGACUGAGACACGGCCCAGACUCCUACGGGAGGCAGCAGUAGGGAAUCUUCCGCAAUGGACGAAAGUCUGACGGAGCAACGCCGCGUGAGUGAUGAAGGUUUUCGGAUCGUAAAGCUCUGUUGUUAGGGAAGAACAAGUACCGUUCGAAUAGGGCGGUACCUUGACGGUACCUAACCAGAAAGCCACGGCUAACUACGUGCCAGCAGCCGCGGUAAUACGUAGGUGGCAAGCGUUGUCCGGAAUUAUUGGGCGUAAAGGGCUCGCAGGCGGUUUCUUAAGUCUGAUGUGAAAGCCCCCGGCUCAACCGGGGAGGGUCAUUGGAAACUGGGGAACUUGAGUGCAGAAGAGGAGAGUGGAAUUCCACGUGUAGCGGUGAAAUGCGUAGAGAUGUGGAGGAACACCAGUGGCGAAGGCGACUCUCUGGUCUGUAACUGACGCUGAGGAGCGAAAGCGUGGGGAGCGAACAGGAUUAGAUACCCUGGUAGUCCACGCCGUAAACGAUGAGUGCUAAGUGUUAGGGGGUUUCCGCCCCUUAGUGCUGCAGCUAACGCAUUAAGCACUCCGCCUGGGGAGUACGGUCGCAAGACUGAAACUCAAAGGAAUUGACGGGGGCCC